GAGGGGGCUGCCGGCCGGCUGGCCGGCUCCAAGGGCAGGCGGGCGGGCGUGGGGAGCGCCACGGGGCGGGCAGGCGGGGCGCGCCACGUGCGCUUCGUGCGCCGGCUGGGCGGCCUGCGGGACCGGCGCGGGGCUGCGGGGGGGAGGAGAUGAUGUGGUGAACCUGCAGAAGGAGUUGGGGGAGGGGGCAAAGAGAGACCUAUUUUUAAUGCAGCUGUUUAAUUCAACGGCUUUAAUGCAGCCGCUUCGAUGCAACUGUUCACCGUUGCAAAAAAAAAAAAUAUAUAUAGCCUGCAGUCCUGUGCAGAGUUACUCCGGCCCAAACCCGUUGAAGCGGCGGCGUUGACUGGAGCAACUCGCCCUAGGAUUGCGCUGUCACUUUGCUCUUUAGGUGCCCAAAGAAGUUUUCAAAGGCGGCGCUUCCACCCCACAAGAAGUUUUAAGGGCACCCCACUGGCACAUCCCGUUCCCUUUGGCUCAAAGGCAUGGGUGCCUUCGGCGCCCUUCCUUUAUUGCCCUUCCUAGCCCCCAAUCCGGCCUGUCAACAUGAUAAAAGGCGGUGGGCUCUCAGCUUAGAGAAAAUAGGGGGGAGGGAUAAGGAGAGCCCCACCCCUCACCCCUGGAAUGAGACUGCUCCAAAAGCAGAAUAGAGCAAGGGUGGAAGAAGAAUGCAGAAAGCGAAAGGAAAUGAAGUUACGCACUUCUAAAACCUGGAUUUAGAAGCACACAGCUGUUUCCCAGGAUUGCACUGCUGGCUGACCGUGCUGUGGGGAUAAAAUAGAGAAGGGGGAUAUUUAUUCCCGUUUCAGCCUAUCACAGAUCCUAGCGAGACGCUGAUCGCUUUACCACUCUGGCUAAAUUGCGGUUCCACCUUUCCUGACUGAAGAGCAUCCCGUUCCAAGAUCGGAGGGGGAUUCUUGGCUAACAAGCCAACAUUCUUUUGGUGAAUCCUUGAAACCCAUCCAGCAAUAUAUUGGGCAAAACUAAAGGGAGGCUCAUAUGCAGUAAGAAGGCAAUCCAAUUCUAUCGACCGCAGCUGAAGCGAGGAACAACAUUCUCACAAAGGCUGGAGAGCUGGAUGCAGAAACACUCAGACAAAAGGCUGGAGAAGGUGCCCCAGAACAAAUUUAUUGUAGCUCACCCGAUUUCUUUUCAAAGGGGUUUUCACAGGCAGUAAAAUAAUAAAACAUACCUGAACAGAGCUUUCCAGUGGCUAACAUAGAUUUUCAAUGCAAAAAGGAUCUUGACUCCACAGUUCAACUCAUUUUUUUUUAACAAGAGAGAAUGAGUAGAUGGCACAAUAUAAGGGAACAGUCCAGGAAGGUACCUUUAUAAAGGGAAUGGGAUUAUGGGCUAUUGCAGUGUUUAUGUAGUUAUGCCAUUUAUUCUGUCCUGUCUUCUGCCUUUGUUAUCCACUUUAAUAACUGCUUAUAUUUCAAGCUUUAGAUAAUCUUCCAUUUGUUUGCUUUCGCAUUUGUUUUCAAGUCAUCACCCCUUUGUACAACUUACUGAUGUCUCAUUCUCCCUAGCUGCAUUUUAAAAAUAUUUUGUAAUCUGACAUGAAUUUUAGUAAAGAAGGCAGGUUAUAAAUGAAGUAAAUAAAUGUGGACAGUGUUAUGCAUCUGCGUUAUUCAAAACAUCUCAUAACAAUAAAAUGGUAAAACUAA